AAUGAAAUCUGGAUUCAGAGGAGUUGAGGGCGAAUGUCAGCUUUCUCUUGAUAAAAUAUAGAUGCUGACGGUUAGCUUAUGAUUUAUUCUUGAAACAUUUUCAAAAUGUUGAUUUCGAGGUUCCCUUUUUUGAUGAUCUUUUAAAACAUUUGUGUCACAUCAGACACUUGAAGAGAGGAAGUGCUUAGUGAAAAAGUGUCAUUUCUCUGAAGCCGCAACUGUAUAUGGAAUGUUGAGUUUGAAAAUCAUGUGGUAUUUCAGCAUUUGAUGUUAAGAAAUGAAAUGGUAUCUAUACUCAGUCCUUACAUUUUGGUAGGUUGAAGUGAGGUAUUGCAGAGAAACCUUUGAAGGGAGGCUUUUUUUUUUUUUUUGAGAGGGUCUCAUUCUAUCACCCAGGCAAGAGUACAGUGGUGUAAUCUUGGCUCACUGCAACCUCUGCCUCCCAGGUUCAAGCAAUUCUCCUGCCUCAGCCACCCAAAUAACUGUGAUUACGGCUUGAACCACCGUGCCAAGCCAGUGUACACUUGAAAUACCCAGAGAGGUGGGUUAGUUGAGAGUAAUAGUGAGCUGUGAUAGUGUGAUGUUCUCAAAUUCCUUUUUUUUUUUUUUUUUUUAAAAAAAAAAAGGCUAGGCCGGC